AGAAUGAGAAGACAUGGCAUGGUAUUGACUUGGCUCAUCUCUCAGCGACAGCGAACUGCACGAGCGCCAGAGGUGAGCCGAGCCAAUAUCACUUCAUGUCAUCUAGCGU
rnacentral:pre_miRNA from 1 species